CACUAACUUUAUAUAUAUAUAUAUAUAUAUAUAUAUAAAAAAAUAAAAUAAAGAGAUUAUCUCUUUGUGAGCUGUACAGGCUUUUCUAAAGCUUUGAUUUUACCCUUAGGUGAGCUGGCAGGUCUUCUAAAGGCUGGGCUGCAGCCAGAGUCCUCAGGGGAAAUUCUGUCUGACUCAGCAACUAUUUUUUUUUUCUGCAGCCUCUUGGGCUGAGAACAACAGCUCUGCCACUUCCUGACGCUUGGGCCUUGUCUGCUAGGCAAAUUUCAAAAAAGAAAUUCCCACUAGUGCUUCAAGCGUGUCUGAAAUUGUAAACAGACUGUAUCUGGACUGUUCUGUCAUUGACCUACUGUCAGUGUUAAACUUAUUUCAGCCACCAUCAGCUGCAGCAAAUUCCUAGGUGUAUGCAGUUUGUGGUUUGCCCGUGGCCUUCGGAAGGGAGGAGGGGAGCAGCACAGCAAUGUUGCUAUCAGCCAGCAACUCUGGAGGACUCGUUCAUCACGUUCCUCGGACCAAAGAAGCCUGCAUAUACAGACAGCAUGACUGGAAUUUGCUAGUCCUUUUAUCUACGUCAUACAUAAGAAAGUAAAACAACUGCUGGGGCAUCUGCAUGAUAUUUGGAUGUGGUAGAACUGGCCUUUUAUCCCACUCAUUCCACCACGGUCUGCCUGGACUUACUUUCCUUUUCCCAAGGCAGCAUCCUUCACCCGAGAUCAAUGCACCUCUGUUUAUCACUCUAUUCUUCAUCUUUCAAAGGCCGGUCCUUCUCUUAAGGUGGAGAGUAGAAAGGGAAAAAACUGAAGAAAGUGAUUUGAAGAGUUUGUAAGGCAGUGAGGUGGGGAAAACAAACUGACUCCUGAUUGCAGUUAAAAAUAUCUUACAUGAUGAAAAAAAAUCCAC
rnacentral:lncRNA from 1 species